UACGAAGGGGGCUAGCGUUGUUCGGAAUUACUGGGCGUAAAGCGUGCGCAGGCGGUUUUAUAAGACAGGUGUGAAAUCCCCGGGCUCAACCUGGGAAUGGCAUUUGUGACUGUAAGACUAGAGUACGGUAGAGGGGGAUGGAAUUCCGCGUGUAGCAGUGAAAUGCGUAGAUAUGCGGAGGAACACCGAUGGCGAAGGCAAUCCCCUGGACCUGUACUGACGCUCAUGCACGAAAGCGUGGGGAGCAAACAGG
rnacentral:rRNA from 1 species